UACCAGGAAAGCCAGGGCUAACUACGUGCCAGCAGCCGCGGUAAUACGUAGGUGGCAAGCGUUGUCCGGAUUUAUUGGGCGUAAAGCGAGCGCAGGCGGUUUCUUAAGUCUGAUGUGAAAGCCCCCGGCUCAACCGGGGAGGGUCAUUGGAAACUGGGAGACUUGAGUGCAGAAGAGGAGAGUGGAAUUCCAUGUGUAGGCGGUGAAAUGCGUAGAUAUAUGGAGGAACACCAGUGGCGAAGGCGGCUCUCUGGUCUGUAACUGACGCUGAGGCUCGAAAGCGUGGGGAGCGAACAGGAUUAGAUACCCUGGUAGUCCACGCCGUAAACGAUGAGUGCUAAGUGUUGGAGGGUUUCCGCCCUUCAGUGCUGCAGCAAACGCAUUAAGCACUCCGCCUGGGGAGUACGACCGCAAGGUUGAAACUCAAAGGAAUUGACGGGGGCCCGCACAAGCGGUGGAGCAUGUGGUUUAAUUCGAAGCAACGCGAAGAACCUUACCAGGUCUUGACAUCCUUUGACCACUCUAGAGAUAGAGCUUCCCCUUCGGGGGCAAAGUGACAGGUGGUGCAUGGUUGUCGUCAGCUCGUGUCGUGAGAUGUUGGGUUAAGUCCCGCAACGAGCGCAACCCUUAUUGUUAGUUGCCAUCAUUUAGUUGGGCACUCUAGCGAGACUGCCGGUGACAAACCGGAGGAAGGUGGGGAUGACGUCAAAUCAUCAUGCCCCUUAUGACCUGGGCUACACACGUGCUACAAUGGGAAGUACAACGAGUUGCGAAGUCGCGAGGCUAAGCUAAUCUCUUAAAGCUUCUCUCAGUUCGGAUUGUAGGCUGCAACUCGCCUACAUGAAGCCGGAAUCGCUAGUAAUCGCGGAUCAGCACGCCGCGGUGAAUACGUUCCCGGGCCUUGUACACACCGCCCGUCACACCACGAGAGUUUGUAACACCCGAAGUCGGUGAGGUAACCUUUGAGCCAGCCGCAAAGUU
rnacentral:rRNA from 1 species